rnacentral:rRNA from 1 species
GACGAACGCUGGCGGCGUGCUUAACACAUGCAAGUCGAACGGAAAGGCCCUGCUUUUGUGGGGUGCUCGAGUGGCGAACGGGUGAGUAACACGUGAGUAACCUGCCCUUGACUUUGGGAUAACUUCAGGAAACUGGGGCUAAUACCGGAUAGGAGCUCCUGCUGCAUGGUGGGGGUUGGAAAGUUUCGGCGGUUGGGGAUGGACUCGCGGCUUAUCAGCUUGUUGGUGGGGUAGUGGCUUACCAAGGCUUUGACGGGUAGCCGGCCUGAGAGGGUGACCGGCCACAUUGGUACUGAGAUACGGCCCAGACUCCAACGGGAGGCAGCAGUGGGAAAUAUUGCACAAUGGGCGGAAGCCUGAUGCAGCAACGCCGCGUGCGGGAUGACGGCUUUCGGGUUGUAAACCGCUUUCGCCUGUGACGAAGAGUGAGUGACGGUAAUGGGUAAAGAAGCACCGGCUAACUACGUG